rnacentral:lncRNA from 1 species
UGUGAGCACUCCGGCCUGGUUAGUCAUAAGAAUUUGCAGUUGGAGUUUGGAGGUGGUGGGAGGCUUUUCCUCAUGGCGUGAUUGCACCCAGGACCUCAGCAAGGAAUGUCAGAACCAGAACGUUUCCCCAGUGACAGCUUCAUCCUUUAAACUUCGCAGAUGAGACAGCAUGCGGAGCAAUCUGUGCUGAAGCAGGAUUAGGAGUUACCAGGGUGACACUUUGUAAUUUGUAGGAUGCUGACAAUGAACCUCGGAAAAGCACAAGACCUUUGCUGGAGCUCAAGAGACCACAGAGACCCAAUUGGCAU